GGAAUUUCAAUUUUGCUCGAGUAUAAAGAAGUACCCAAGACAAAAAUCCGCAGCAAUAGGAAGUGUAAUCAAGAAAUUGUCAACCACCUUAGUUUUGUCUUGAAUUCUCAAAUUGUUAACAGGUAAUUAUUAUUCAUUCCCAAUGAAUUAUUUAAGCAAGUUAAAGGGACCCUCACAAACAAACACUGCCUAUAUCAUAGAACAAGUAAAAUGUGAAAUUUUCAACUAGAAAUUUAGAAUAUACGCCAGCAGAUUGUGAUCCCAUCACCUAAAGGAACAUGAGAAAGUUGGAUACGAGGAUCAUCCGCAAGUGAUCUGUUAAGGUCCAAUGUUGCUUGCCUGCCACCUCUUAAAUGGUCCGGAACCUGCUCUUCAGACAUUGCAACUGUUCCCCCCCAGAGUGUGUUGUCAUAUACAGCUAUACCGCCCACUUUCAACAACUUCAUCAACCUCUCAUGGUAGUUCCAGUAGUUGACCUUGUCAGCAUCCACAAAAGCAUAGUCAAAGCUGCCUUCAUUUUCACUCUGCAGCAGAUUCCAGAAAGGAUAUUUGUUCAAAAACAAAAGUCAAUUGAGUGGAAGAUUAACGUAGGGAAAAAAGGCACGUGUUUCAGAGUAUUAAAUCCUUACAUCUUUUAGUAGCUGAUCAAGAACUGAUAGUGCCUCGGACUCAAUGAAGUUUAUCUUGUGAUCAACUCCAGCCUUUUUAAUGACAGGUAAUCCUAUUUCAUAUGUCUCACGAUUCACAUCAAUUGCCAUAAUCUGCGCUAUUAUGUUUCUAGUCAGAAAUAGCUUAAUAGGCAAGUGCAUGAUAUGAAAAUAAGAUUAAAACAAUUUAACAAAACCAUAACAUAUUACAAGAACACUGCAUUUGUAAAUUCAAUUUUACAGCAUCACGUAUGAUGAUGGACUAUUUACCUGACCAUCCUCUGGAAUUGUAAGUGCAGUGAGGAGAAGAGAAUAUCCAGUGAAAACUCCAAUUUCAAUAGUUUUCUUGGCAUUCACUAGCUUCAAGAGCAUGGCCAUUAACUGACCUGCAUCUGGUGCAGUACUCAUCAUGGCCCUGAGAAUUAACUAAGCAGCAUUCUAAAUACACAUUGAUAUGAAUUGAUAACGUUUGAAAGUCUUAUCUCAAAUUUAUGGCAUUUUCAGUGAAUUCCAUAAACAAGCUUAAAGGUUCCUUUAAAGGGUACUUAUCUAAUAACAGAGGCAGUUAUAUAGUAUUCGUCAUCAUUCAGUAUAUUUUAGGAACUUAAUCCUUCUACGAGGUGGUUAAGAAAAGGAUGAAAAAUUGUAGCUGCUUAAAGAAGUGUAUUAAGUAUAUAUAAAGACAGAUACCUUGGAUGGUCAGCAGUAACGUCCCUUAUCUCCUUCAGAUGCUCUGGCUCUCUUGGGUAAACACUCGUCUCCAGGAUAUACUGCCACAGUAACUGUUAUAAUUAAAACUGAAGAACAAGAAAACGUAAUAAUCGUAACAAAGAGAACGUAUAGGGAUGAUACCCUGUAUAACUCUUCACUUUGCAACAAUCCCUUGCUACUUGCUGCUUUUUUUGCCUUUUCUGCCAUUGCUCUCCACCUGCUUCACACAAGAUAUUUUGACUGACUCCUAAAAGGAGAAAAAAAAAAAAAUGAAGCUUUCUUCCAAACUGCACAAAUUCUAAGUGACAGGAAGUAAUAAGAUCAUAUGAAGAUGUCAUUCUGAUGUGCACAUAUGAUAGCAAGUGAUGAACAUACAGAAAAGAUAAUACCAUUAUGUGAUGCACAUAAAGACACAGAUAAAGGCCAUUCUAUGAUGAAUAUAUGACAAGAAUCAAAACCUUGAUGGCAUAGAAUCAAGACUAUUAUAUCAUACUGGAGAUAAACAAGACCAUUGUGAAGGUAAAUUUGGAAGAUGAAUCCUGUUUUAUAGUGUUUAAUUAUCUCUUUUUAUGUCAUUUGAGUUUAUUGCACAGAUUGGCUCUUUUUCAUAACUGUUAUUCAGUUAAUUUGUCACUAAUGUGAAGAAGGAAAAUUUUAUUCUUUAUUAAAAGCUAGGCACCAACCCUGAGUCAAGAUUACAGUUACAUCUAUAAAUUCAGGUUCAAAUAUUUACAUCGUAACAAAUACAAACGUUAAAAAUCCAGGAAAAUUAUGAAUAAAGGAAUUAUAUAACAAAAAUAAAAAAGUAUUUACAAAAGCAAGCAAAAUUGUUUUAGCUAUAGGCCAAUCUAUCAGCGUUAGGCUUUCUAAUCUAAUGCCAAAAUGAUCUAUAUAGAUUAAAAAAUAAAUCUUGGAUUAAAUUAAAAAAAUCUAAAAAAUUGUUAUAAGAAAUACCAAGGGCAUCAUUUAUAUCGACGAACAAGGCAAAUUUCAUAAUUCAAGCACAGAGAAAAGAAAUUCACAAAGAUAAGAUAAAGAGAAAAAGGAGAGAACCCAGAUACAGUAAUGUGAAGACAGCAAUCCUGGUAAUAAUAAGAGGAUUUGACCUCUCUUCCUCCUGAGAUAUUAGUUUUUUAAAUGCUCGAAUCCGCCCACGCAUAUGGGUUGGAACUUGGAAAUCGAGUUGCCUUCUGGGUAAAUAAAUAUAAAUAAAUAAUUACAAAGCUUUCACUUCGGUUUUCUUUCGUUUAACAUUACACUAAUGAUAAGACUAUAAACUCCUCGCACAAAUAAAUGUAGCAAAAAGAGAUUAAUUGUAUAAAAUUAUCAUAUAAUUUAAAAAAUAAUACUUAUUUAUAUAAAUUUAUUUAUAGUUCUAUCAUUAUUGUUAAUAUUAAAAAUAUUCUUCUUAGGCCUACAGACAAAUUACUUCUUAAAAUUUACACCAUAGUCCUUAUUUACUUAAAAAUCAUCAACAAACCACAAGAGAUAAACAUGAUCUCAAAUAUUUUAAUUUUAUAUACACAUUAUGUUGAUAUAGUACAGGAUAGUAGUUUUAUUAAAGUUCAAGGACGCUAUUAUCUCAUAUGGUGUAUUAUACUAAUAUACCAUAUGAUGUAAUAGCUUUUUCAGAUUUCAACAAAAUACAAGAUCUUGAAUUGGAUAUAUAUGUGUGUUUGUGUGUGUGUAUAUAUAUAUAUAUAUAUAUAUAUAUAUAUAUAUAUAUAUAUAUAUAUAUAUAUAUAUAUAUAUAUAUAGAGAGAGAGAGAGAGAGAGAGAGAGAGAGUUUAGCAUCGAUUUAAUAGUGAUUCUUAGCUACAUCACUGAUAUCAAAUAUAAAAUUUCAAUAAUUUCAUAUCUCUAUAAUUUAUAUCUCAAGUGAUGUGUCAUGUGUGUUUGUUGACAUAAUUUUUUAUUAUUAAUGUGAUAAUUGACAUAGUGCUGAAGUGAUACUAAAUGUUCUUGUUCUAGCAUACAUUCUUGAAAGUAAAAAAAAAAGUUAGCUCUUAAAGAGAGAAAACAUCUAAUUAAUGACAAAGAUAAAUCCAAAUGAACUAAUAAGAAAUAUUAAUGAUUAGAAGCUUAAAAGUGUUAUCAUAAACUAUGAAUAAUAAGCUUAUAUAUACUAGCAGCUAACUUAAUCUUAGUUCUUCUUAGACAAAAGAAAUAAUCUAAAAUCCUAAAUAGAUUAGAAUUACAAAUAUGACUUAAAUAAGCUUAAUAAAACCUGAUAAAUCUUAAUAAAAUACUAAAUACUAAAGUGACUCAAAUACUAUAAUUUCUAAUAUAUUCCACCCUAUAUACUUCCUACAUAAAUCUCCUCCUCUGCAGAAAAAACUUAUUCCUGAGUUUUGCUAAUAAUAAAAGACAAUUUGAAGGAUGAAACUUAAAGUAGAGUAGCAAUGUACCUUGGAGCUCGAACUCGUAAUCUUUUAUACCAAUUUUCCUUGAAACUUGAAAUGCUCUAUACUUUAUUUUCCUUUUGGUCUUGAUAGUCACUCUAUGAAAAGGUAAAGUCUUAUACGAACAAAUAACUUCUAGGCCUCUCAAGUCUUUUGUCAAGCCUUGCUCAAUGUUCCUGCCAAUUAACUUUAUCUUUAGUAACCAUAUCUUCUUCAAGAAUAACUUUCUUGUCUCCACUAUGAAUAGGCAAAAUUAUAUCAAUUAUCUUUGGGUCUUCUUGAAUAAUUGGUUGGCUUUAACUUCAAAAAUCAAUUAUCUCUACAUGAUACUUUUGAAGUAUAAUGCUCUUUUCAUCAACUUGAUUUGAUGAAGUCAUAUCAGUCAUAUUACCUUUUAUAACAAUCGAUGCCUCUUCAACUUGAGUUUCUUGAAAUUCAAAUGUACCAUUCAACUCAAUGUUCAAAUUAAGAUCAGAAGCUACCUCAUCUUGGUAAUUUUGGGCACGACUUCAAUUAUUUUCUGAUGCUUAUAGGUAUAUCUUUGAUUAAGUUGAAGUUCUAAUAAUGAUUCUUGAGAUUCUCUUGUUGAACUCUCUGUUGCCCCAGUUGAACGUUGCAUUGAUGGCAAUGCCUUCAUUAAAUCUUGUAAUGCCUUAUUGAUAGUUCAAGAUGUUUUUCUCGUCGUUCAUCUUCUAUUUCCUCUUCAUUUGAAUCGUCUAAAUUCGGAGGGGAUAAAAUAGCUUUUGCAUUUCUACUAGAGCUACCUAUUUCUUUAGCUUUGUUAAUUGUCCUUUGGUUAUCAAAAUAAUUGCUUGGAUCAACAUUAUUGAUACACUUUAUUACCUAGUUAUCUCUUUGGGCAAGUUUAAUUUCUUUUAAAUCUUAUUUCACACCACGUAAUAUUUCUUCUAUUACUAUAAUAUGAUUUUACAUUGACUGUAAGGUUUUUGUUGUUUUGUACGAUGCUUCUUUUAAAUGGUUUUGUGAUUAUUUGAGUUGCUUUAAUCUUCAAAUUGAGUAUUGCUUUCUCCAAAAACCAUUAUUGUUUUUUGGUUUUUUUUGGGGUUUUUAUAAGAAUAGAAAAAUUAAAGGAUAAUAAUAUAAUUAAAAGAAAAUAACAUGCAAAACUUAUAGAUAAAAAAAUAUGAAUUUACUGACGAUGGUGAUCGGGGAAAAGGGAAAAGAAAGGUAGAACUGGAAGUUUGAUGUUGGUGAGUGUGAUAGCGUGGUGGUUUGACUUGGACCGAGAUGUUUGGAUCGAAAAAUUGAAGUGAAGGUUGCAAUUGGAAUCUUGGUUUCAUUUAUAACCAACAAUGAAAUAGCGGAUUGAGGCAAUAGUCCAAAAGGAUAGAGUGAAUAAUGAAGAAAAGUUUGGUUAUGGCAUGGUGGAUGAACCAAUGUGGUUUGCAGCCAAACAAUUGGUAGUUAGUGUAGUAGUUGCGGUUGUUUUGGUGGUGUUUAGGUGACAGUUCAAUGGUGAGAUGGGUUAGGGGUCUGAUGGACAGCUUUUUCUGGUUUUGAUGGGGGUGGUGAUUGACGAAAAAGAUGAAGAAUAACAGUAACAGUAGCCACGUACGAUGACUGUGAAAGUAGUUAUUGGCGGUUAGGUUUUUUGUUGAUUUUUUUGUACUUAGUGGAAUUAAUGGAUAAUGAAGGAAGGAUCAGUGUAUGGAGGGUGGUUGGUGGUUAGGAAACCUCAGCAUGGUGGAAACCUUUGCAUGGUAUAGAGAAAACUUUGAUACCACUUGACGCAGUGCGAAAACGAUACUAGAUGUCGCUUUAGCGUACGUUCUUGAAACUCAAGAAAGAAUAACUCUCAAAUAGAAAACAUCAAAUUAACGACAAAGAUAAACCCGAAAGGAAUAAUUGAAAAUAUAAUUAAUGAAAAGCUUAAAGGUGUUGCCACAAACUAUGAAUAAAAAGCCUAUAUAUACUAGUAGCUAACUUAAUUCUCGAUACUUAUAAAAGAUACUCUAACGCUUAUGUUUGUCUUUCUUUAAAAAGUGUUUAAAAUAAGAAGUAUUGACUUUCGUUCAAUCUUUCUUGUUAUUAGAAUGCUUUAACUGGUUCUAAAUGUUCCACCUUCAAAAUCGAUUUGUCUUUGUUCUUUAGUUUAUUAUUUGAAUCUUAAAAGGCAUGUGAUUGUGAACAUAAAAGUUUUGUCUACAUGUUUCUUUUGCUCUAAAAAAGAAUAUCAAGUAGAAGUAGUCAUGGGUCUUUGACCCGAAGAUUCACUCACAUAGUAAGUGCUAGUUUUACUUUUUAUUAUUAUUAUUCUAGCUUUUAAGAUAAAUAAAGGUAGUUCUAAGAGUAUAGUUAACGAUUAGUGAAAGCUUUAAGUUCAAGGGUGGGUGAGAGUUAAUGAGGAUAAUGUAAGGGGAGGGUUUAUUGGUGUGUGAAGCUUUAACAUCCCUUUAAAGCUCUAAUGGAUAUAGCAAAGUUAAUCCAUAAAUUUAGGACAAUAAAUUUAGAAGAGGAGUACAAGGAUAUAAUUUCUUUUGUAAGUAGAAUGAAGUUAGAAAAAGAGAAAAUAUCAACUAGAUGUUUGAUUAGAAAAGCAUUGUAAACAAGAUGUGUAAAUAAAGAAAGGCUUAAAAUUGUGAUGCAAUAGGCUUGGAGAAUGGAAAAGAGGUGAAGAUAAAGCUUAGGAGAAAAUAUUUUCUUGUUUUAAAAAAGCUCUCAUAGUUCGUUAAGAGUAGGCAACAUCCUAAAAUAGGAGUUCACAAAAGCCGCCUUUUAGGUUUAAAUACAUAAUGUCCUAAUAAUGUGUAUGGACGUGGAUACCAUUAGGGAAAUAAGAUAGAACAUUAGGAAAGUAGAAGAUGUUGGUACUGAUGCUGAAAGGGAAUGUAUUGGAGAAUUCGUCAGAGUAAGGGUAUCUAUAGGUAUUAUUAAGCCUCUGAAAAAGAUUCUUACAUAAAGCUAGAGAAUAAUAAGACAGUGUCAGUGCCACUAGUCUAUAAAAGAUUACCAGACUUUUGCUUUUGUUGUGGGUGUAUUGGCCACUUAUACAAGGAGUAUGUUAAUUACAAAGGGUAGUACAAAGAGGAUUUGGCUUAUGAUGUUUGGUGAAAGCAAUCAAAUCCACUAAUAAACCCAAGUCUAGUACAAGUAGGGAACAAUAGAGUAGAGAUUCCAACAAACCGCACAAGGAAUAUGCAAGCAUAGAGAAAGCUAUAAGUCCUCAACAGAAACAUGACCAAUCAAACUCAGAGGGUGAAAGUAGGUCAGGGUCAACCCAAAAAAUCAAUAAAGGAUCAAUGUAACACUAAUGAAAACUUGUCAAGUGGAGAAGGUUAUUGAAACAUCAUUAAUAAAAGAGGUUGAAGUUCCAAGAAAGCAGCAAGUUGACUAAAAAAAAACUAAUAAAGGUAGCUAGUAAUAUCACAUCCUAAAAAGAGCGGGGCACAAAGGUUGGAAAAGAAAAAGUGAGGGAAAUUAAAGUUGAAAUGUACACAAACAAAUGCAAUAAUUUGGGCCUAAACUACAAUUAUACCACAACACCAAAUCAAGCCCAAAUUAAUUUGGAGACAAAGGAGAAGGAAGUUAAUGGGUUCAAUUGAAAUAAACGCAAGCCAGAAAAAAGAAAAUGAAAAAAAAAAGGCUAGAAGCACAAGUAAGCAUAGAGGAAUUGGUUUCGGCUAAUAGCUUCCAAACGACCUAAUAGUGAGAUAAACUGAGCAAGCCCUAAAACCAAACAACAUAAGAAAGUAAGCCUAAACAAAACAACACCAAAACACCAUCAACUCAAUUCCCCUUCAGCACAACUUAAACUCUACGGGAUGCUACAAUAAGGGAGGUAAUGGAAGUAUCAAUUUCAACAAUAGAGGGUUCAUUGGUGGUAGCUGGAACCCAAUCCUGUCAAUAGCCAUGAAUAUCCUUAGCUAACUGUUUGGGGUUUACAGAAUGACUAAACAUUCCUACCUCUAAAAGAAAAUCUUGAGUUGCAUAGACCUCAAAUUGUAUUUUUAUGUGAAACAAAGUUGAUGUCUAGGUAAAUUGAUUAACACUAGAAAGUGUAUAUUUAAUAAAUAUUAAAAUCAUUAUUUUGUACUUACAAUGUUGAUAACACUAAGAAUUUCAUCACAUUUACAAAUCUUUAACCUAUUUUAUGACUUGUUUAUUUUUAUAUAUUUUUAAGUAUGAUUGAUAUGCUUUGUAGGAAAUUCCUAAAUUAAGAUGCUUGAAUUGAAGAUUUGGAUGUGAAAUUUAGAUUUCGGAGACUUAGAAACCUUUAGAAAAAUCACUAGUCUUUUUUUAUCUGACAUUAUUUCUAAAUGGUUGAGAUCGUGCCACAUGUCCGAGCUCACAUGCACCUUGUUGUACUAGAUUUAACACAUCAAAUUGGGAAGAUCAAAAGGAGGAUCUUACUUUGACUUCAAAUGUAGCCAUUAAUUAUGUUGAAUUCAACGAUCCAUAAUGGUAGCAAUUUCAGACCCCUAGAUUGCACUAUUAAAUCUCAUCCCAUGGUUGCAAUCGUAAGCUCACCAAAACUUUCAUGUAAAUACCCACACUUGAUCACUCAAAAUUUGCCUACAUAAAAGCAAGAGCUUAAUUAGGUGUGCUAGAUAUUGGAGAAAGAAUGAAAUGAGAGAAUUGUGUGGUGGAUUUUAGGGAUGAGCUUUUUGGGUGUAAAUCUAGAGUGAAUUUUAGAGGAAAAGUUUCUUGUCUUCUCUUUUGUUUUUCAAUUUUCUUUUAUUGUACAUCAUGAGUUAUUAAAUAAAAUGAGUGUUUUUCUUGUCAAUAUAAAUGGCUAAUUUAAUAAACUAAGGUGAAGGGUGAAGCUUGAGGAUUUAGAUCAUGAAAUUAAUUACCCUCUUAAGUGAGUUCUUGUUGGAGAAAAAUCAGUUUUUUAAUUUUUAUAAAAACUUUUAGGAUCGCUCUCAUACAAUAUAUAAGAAUUUGUAAUCUUGAAAUCGUACCUAGAAAAUCCGAUUUGACUUUUUCCGCUGAAGUGAUUUAGACUCCCAGAUCACGAUCCGUCACCAUCUCUUCUGUUAGAUCACGAUCCGUCACCACCACUCCUAUUAGAUCACGAUCCGCCACCAAAUAAUCUUCCAGACUAUGACUCAAGAUUGAUCUGCACUUGACGCGUGGGCGCCUUUAUCACCACUAAAGCAACUAGCACGAGAAAAUUUUUCUCUCAAAAUUAGAGAGAAAAAAUCUUUUUCUUUGAUCCGUAUAAAGUGGCUGCUAUUUUUUUCUUUGGGGAGAAAAUAAGCUCUUUUGUAUCUCUAUCUAGUGAAAAUCCUAGGCUCCAUUUUUUUAUAUUAUUUAAUUCUAUUAAAUCAAGUUUGAUUUAAAUUAAAAAUAAUAAACCAAAAGUAACAUUACUUCUUUUUUGUCAUAGGAGCCCACCUUGUAAAAUAACACAAAACCUCUUAGACACAAGUACAUUACAUAGAGCCUCCCACUAAAUAUUAUAUUUAGGUUUUUAACCCAAAUAGCUAGUUAUCUUGCUUAUUAAUCCAGUAGUGGCGCUGUCAAUUAAAUGAGCUAACCUGGAGAUCAUUUGGGAACAUACAAUAGUGGCUAUAAUAAUUAGGCAUGUAAUUAAACUAGCCCAAUUAUUUAAUUCCAAAUCUACUCCACUAAAAGAUUGGAACUGGCCUCUAUAAUUGUAUGCUCGAAUAAUAAUUCGUCUCAAGCCACAUCAUUUCUUUACUGCAUAAUCCUUUGUACCACAUCGUUAAUUAAAUCGAUAUCUCAACUGUCCAAUCGAUUUAGUUACAUCUUAUUCUUUGAUACUUACUUGUUUUCUCUAAUGAUCAUUUUUAACAUACUAAAUAUGUUGACACACUCUGGCCAGAGAAUUCUAUGAUCAAGUGCUGAAAACCCAUCAAGAGAUGUGUUGUACAAAUUCUAUAUUGUUAAUCUAUAACUCCAACACUCAUAAUUGCUCCCACCAAAAUACCGGGUAAUCUUGACCACAAUUGUGUGUCGUGUCCAUUGGUAACUCAAAUGGAAUAACAAUUACAAUCAUGAAAACAUAACUAACUCAAGAUUAAGAUUACAGUAAAAUCAAUGCCUAUGAGAUUUAAUAAGUCUGACAGUCAUUUCAAAGUUAAUUAAAUCUCGUAUGUGAUCUAGCUCAAUGUAGUCAAACUACAUCAAUAAAUUCAUACACGAUUAAGACAAAUCAUUCAAUGAAUUCACUACAGUCUAAACAUAAAUAGAGCGCCCAACUCUAUUUAUCAACUGCGAACUUAAUUUAUUUAAUCAUAAGAUAACUUGUAUUUAUGUCUUCUGUGAAUCCAUAUGAUGAUCACAUAAAUACAUAUAAUAUGAUUAAACAGACCUUAUUCAAAAUAUUUAUGCAAUUGAAAAUGUCUCAAAUAUUUUAUUAAUCAGAAAAUAAAUUAAUAUGCUUUAAAAGAGCACAUAAUCCCAACAGUUUUAAGUUUAUUCUAGUUGUUACAUAUUUAUAAUUUGUAUUCAUUUUUUACCGGUUACUUUUAUGGCAUGUUAAUUUAUAGAUGUUCAUUCCCUUUGAAUCUAUAUGACAUUUUGACAUGAUAUCGACACACCAACAUUAUGUACUUGAUCCCAUAUUUAUUUAUACAAACUGUUGGUUAAGAAUUAAAUGACAUAACAAUUAAUUGGCAAAAUAAAUGCAAAAUACAAAUAUGAGAGAGCAUUAUGACUAUAAUUUAAAAACCGAGAGUAAAUCUCAUAACUUUAGUGCUUUUCUAGAUUGUUCCCUAUAAAUUUCUUUUCUACAAUUAAUUUUUGUUAAUAAUUAACUAUUAUAUUUUUAAAUUCCCUGUGAUUUGACCCCGUACUUAUCAAAAUGAAGUUUUCACAAGUUUUAUAAUAAUACCAAAAUUUCAGUCCUUGAACUAGUAAAGUGAAUUGGAGCUUGAUUAUGACUUGUCCUUCGCAGGCUAAAUGAACAUGGAUUUUGGACCUCUAAAAUUAAAAUUAAGGCUUGAAAUUUAAAUUGAUUACCUAAUUAGUCGGUAGUUUUUAAGAGAUUUUUUAAAAGAAAAGAGUUCCACCUCUCGAGGUAAGUAUUUCUUUCUUUUAUCUUUCUUGUAAUUUCAUUUUUCUUUAAUUCCAUUUUUUUUUGCAUUUUAUUUUAUGCUUUAUUAUUGUUGGUGGCUGGUUCUAUAAUACUACCUAAAUUGUUAAUAUUUUGUUAAUAUGUUGUUAUCUUUGAUUAAUUAUUUAUAUGGCUAGUUCAACCGCCUAUUAUUUUAAUUUUAGUUAACUAAUUUUUAGUUUAUUUAUUUUUCUUAUUUAUUUAUUGUUAUUUUAAAGUCUUGUAUAUAUAUAUAUAUAUAUAUUGUAUAUCGCUUGCUUAUUUAAUUUUUAGUUUUUUUAUUUUGCGUAAUUUUCAUUUAAUGUUUCAUGCAUUACUUGUUUCUGCAUCAUUUUUUUUAACUUAUUUGACAUUCACUCAUACAUCAUCAGCAUUCUAUGAGACAUUCAUCUUGUACAAAUAAUGGCAGUUUAAUUAGAAAAUCACCUUCACUACCCUUAAACAUGGCUAACUUCGAAUCUUAUAAACUUUCAGAGCAAGGAAAUAACCAAACCCCACAAAAUUUGCAUGAACAUCAUACACUUAGCAAUUUCAUACAUCCUAUUAGAAUAGGAGCACUGUCAUGCAUAGUUUUCCCUUGUGAAGUAUCACGUUUUAAUUUCAAAUCUUGUAUCAUUCAACUUUUACCUACUUUUCAUAGUUUUGUGUAUGAAAAUCAAUACCUAUGUUUGAGAGAAUUUGAGGAAGUUUGCAAUACUUGUAUUGAUCAAAAUUAUAGCAUGAACAUAAUCAUACUUAAUUUUUUCCUUUUUCCACUAAAGGAAAAAGAUAAAACAUGACUACAAAAUCUUAGGUUAGGAUCUAUCACAACUUGGGAUAAAAUGCAAGCAAAUUUUUUAAAAAUAUUCUUUCCACCUUAGUUCUUUUAAAAGUCAAAUCACUACCUUCACUCAAAAGUCAGGAGAGAUUCUUUACCGAUGUUGGGAUAAGUUCAAAGAGUUACGUAACAUUUUCCCACAUCAUGUUUUUAAAACAUUGUGGUUAAUGUCACAUGUCUAUGCGGGAUUAACAUCCUUAGUAGAUAAGUUGUUGAAAUGAUGUAUAAUGAUGAGUUUAGAAACAAAAGUCCUGAAGAUGCAUUAAAUUAUCUUGACAUAUAGCAGAGAAUGCACAACACUUGGACAUAGUUUAUGAGUAGUCGAGUAAACCCCAAUUAUCUCUAUUUGGUAAAUGCAUGCACAACCUUAAGGAAAAAGAGUGAUCAUGUUAAAUCUAUUCAAGAUAUUUCAUGUCAUAUUUGCAGUUCCACUGACCAUUUUAUGCAGGAUUGUCUAACCUUGCCAGCUCUGAAAGAAAGUUUGCGUGAACAAUCAAAUGUCAUAGACAAUUUCAAAAGGUUGAACCCUAUCUAUACUCAUAGACCUAUAACUCCAGUUAGAGAAAUCACCCAAAUUUCAGUUGGAGAAAUGACAAUCAUGCACAAACUUUAUAACCACAUCCUCUAUGUCAGAAUUUUCAAAACUCACAAGGUUACCUACCUUAUGUCCCACCAAAAAAAAAAAAAAAAAAACUCUUGAAAGAUAUAUUGCAUUCAUUCAUUGAAAACAAGAGUCUAUCAAUAACCAAACCAUGCAAAAUUCGACCAAUUUGAUAGACACCAUCUCCAAACUUACAUCAGCCCUCACAAUUAAAAAAAAAAAAAGAUAAGUUUCCUUCUCAAUUAGAAUAAAAUCCCAAGAAUCAACAACAUCCUCAAUUAGUACAUGAAAACCAAAAUAUGAGCCAAAUUAAAUUGGUUAUAACUAUUCCUAGUGGUAAAGUGGUCGAAAAAUACAUUUUUAAUUGUCAUGAAAUUAGUAAAGAGUCAAUUUCAGAGAGUAAGGAAAAGUUGAAUGAACCUCUAACCCAUUAAAAGAUAAUCAACUUUUCUCAUGUACCCCCAUUUCCUCAAGCAGUAAUUAAGUCAAAGAAAUCUAACCACAAUCCUAAGAUUUAUAAAGUUUUUAAACAAGUGAAGAUCAACAAUCGUUUGCUGGACAUCAUUGAAUAUGUACCAUCUUGUGCUAAAUUUCUAAAAGAUUAUGCACUGUAAAAAGGAAACAUAAGGUGCAAAAAAAAAAAAAAACUUUCUAACAACAUAGCUAAGUUUUAUUCUCAGCUAAUAAUGCUUUGUCCAACUAUUUCUUGCAUUACGGUGGCUAUAAAAUUGAACAUGUUGUGUGAGUGUCAACUUAUUUACUUAUUCAGUAUAGCAAAAAUAUAAUCUUGGUGAGCUAAAACCAACUUCUACUAUUUUUUUAGUUGUCGAUAGGUCAAUUAGGGUACGAAAAGGGAUAAUUGAAGAUAUAUUAUUCUGAGUCAAUAAAUUUAUAUAUCCUGCGGAUUUUAUUAUUUUGAAAAUUAAACCAAUUACUAAUGAAUGCAAAUAAAUUUAUGUCAUAUUAGGUUGACCAUUUCUAGGCACUCCUAAUGCUUUAAUUAAUUGCCGGAAUGGAGUGAUGAAUUUAUCUUUUAACACUAUGACAUUGGAAUUUAAUGUGUUCAAUAUGUGUAAACGACCUUGUGAAAACGAAGAUGAAGACAAUGAGAAUGAGAAGAUUGAGCUAAUUAAACCAAUCAUUGAAGAACAUAUUCAGGACAAGAAAUUUACGAACUGUAUGAAAAUUUGUUUUUGCUAGUUUACUUAAAUCAAGUAAAGAAUUAGAAUGUAAUAUUGCUAACAUAUGUUCUAUCCUUGAUUUUCCGUAGGUGGCUGAAGAUGACAGUAGCAAAUUGAACUUUGAAGAUUUGAUACAAUUUUAAGGGACCAAAAAAAGAGGAAGCAUUAAAGCUUAAAUUGAAGCUUUUACCUGAAGAAUUAAAGUAUGGACUCUUAGAAGAUUAGCAAAUCUAUCUAAUGAUAAUUUCUUCCUAACUCACAAACGACCAAGAAGGUGAGUUACUGACUGUUCUGAAAAGGCAUAAAAUUGCAUUUGGUUGGACCUUGCAGAACAUAAAAGGGCAUUAACCCUUUCAUUUGUACACACAAAAUACAGUUAGAGGAAAAUACCAAAAUAAGCCGUCAACCACAAAGAAGACUAAGUAAAGAAUGAAGUCUAGAGAGCUACUAUAUAGAGGAAUUAUCUAUCUUAUCUUUGAUAGUAAAUAGAUAAAUUCAACAUAAGUAUUACCAAAGAAAUCUAGAAUAACUGUUGUAAAAAAUGAGAAAGGUGAGUCAAUCCUGACAUAAAUCCUAUUUAAUUGGCGCAUGUACAUUGAUUAUGGAAAAUUAAAUGAUGCCACUAAAAAAAACUAUUUUCCCAUUUUAUUUCUAGACCAAAUUCUCGAGAGAAUAAAAGACAACCUUGCUACUGCUUUUUUGAUGACCACUCAAGAUAUUAUCAAAUUCUAUAGCCUUAGAAGACCAAGAAAAUACCACAUUCACAUGCCCAUUUAGAACAUUUGCAUUUAUCUUACAAAGUUUCAGAGAUGCAUGCUAAACAUUUUUAGUUACAUAGUUGAAAAUUGUUUGGAGGUUUUCAUGGGUAAUUUAACUGUGUCUAAAAAUUAUUUUGAUACAUGUCUUUAUAAUUUAAAAAGAGUUUUGGAAAGUUGCAAAGGAAAAUGACUUGUUUUAAAUUGGAAAAAAUGUCAUUUCAUGACCAUUUCCAAAAAUGUCUUAGGCCAUGUCAGGUUUUUAAGAAGAAUUGAAGUUGAUAAAGUCAAAGUCGAAGUUAUCUCAAAAUUACCUUCACUAAAGACAACUAGGGAAGUUUGUUCAUUUUUUAAGAUAUGCCUAGUUUUAUAGGAGGUUUACAAAAGAAUUUAGUGUCAUACCCAAACUACUUUGUAACCUUCUGAUAAAAGACACACUAUUUAAGUAAAUCAAAGAUUGUUAGAAAGUCUUUGAAAAGAUAAUUAGUCUUUUAACAUCAACCCUAUAAUGCAACACCCUAAUUGGUCUUUACCUUUUGAACUAUACUAGGGAUUUUAUUAUUGGAGCUGUUUUAGGACCAAAGAAAAAAAAAAUAAAUAUAAGCUCUUUGUUAUUGAUUACGCAAGUAGAACUUUUAAUAGUGCCCAAGUAAAUUAUACCACUAUUGAAAAAGAACUACUUCCUGUAAUAUUUAUAUUGGAUAAAUUUCAAUCGCAUUUAAUUAGUUCAUUUACUAUUGUUUAUUAUGCUCAUGUUACCGUUAGAUAUUUAAUAUCUAAACACGAUACCAAGCCUAGAUUAAUAUAAUGGAUUUUACUGCUCCAAGAAUUCAACCUUAGAAUCAAAGACAAAAGGAGCCAAAAACAUUGUUGCAGACCACCUGUCAAGACUCACAAAUGAGUCUUCAAUUGAUAUAACACCAUCAAUGAUUCUUUCCAUGAUAAAUUUUAGUUUUCUAUACACAACAUGUCUUGGUAUGCUAACAUUGUUCAUUAUCAUGUGAUAGGUGAAAUGCCAUCUGAUUAGAACUUCUUGGAUAAGAAAAAAUUCUUAAUCAAGGUGAAAAGUUUAUAUUGGGAUGAUCCAUACUUGUUCAAAUAUUGUGCUGAUCAAAAUUUUUAGAGAUGCAUAUCGGAUGACGAGGUAAGUACUGUUAUUCAAUUUUGCCAUUCUAAAGCAUGUGAAGGCCAAUUUUCUUCAAAAAAGAUAGCGGCAAAAAUAUUACAGUGUAGAUUUUAUUGGCUCACGUUAUUUAAAGAUUCACAUACAUUUUUUAAAACGUGUAAGAAUUAUCAAAUGUUUAGGUCACUUUCAAAUCAAAAUAUGAUGCCUUUAAACCCAUCCUUAUUGUUGAAAUAUUUGAUUAUUGGGGAAUAGAUUUUAUGUGCCAACUUUUAAUUAUCAUUUUGAUUUGUAUAUAUUUUGAUUGUUGUUGAUUAUAUUUCAAAAUGGAUUGAAGUGCUUCCUCUUAGGCACAACAUUCACAAAAAAUCCGAUCCAUUUUUUAAAAGCAAAUCUUUUGAACAAAUUUAGAAUCCUUCAAAUCAUUAUUAGUGAUGGAGGUAAGCAUUUUUGUUACAAGUCAUUUGAGUUUUUAAUGAAAAAACAUGGAAUUACAUGUAAAGUUUCUACUGUUUAUUACCCUAAAACAAAUGAUCAAGUUAAAUUAACAAAUAGGGAGAUAAAACAAAUUUUGGAAAAUAUAGUUAACCCAAACUAUAAAGAUUGGUCUCUUCAACUUACUAAUGCAUUUUGGGCUUACUAUACUGCAUUUAAGACAUCUUUAGGAAUGCCAUCCUAUCGGUUGGUCUAUGGUAAACUUUGCCACUUACUGGUUGAACUUGAGAAUAAAUCAUUUUAGGCUGUUAAAACUUUUAAUUCAAAUCUUGAUGAUGCUGUUAAUUUAUCUAAAUUACAAUGAAAUGAACUUGUGGAAUUAAGGAAUGAUGCAUAUAAAAAUUCAAGAAUUACUAAGGUAAGAACCAAAGCCUUUCAUGAUAAAAGAAUUUUUUAAAAAACUUUUGAAAUUAGUCAAAAAGUAUUGGUUUAUAAUUCUCAUAUUAUUUUUGUUGCCAAGGAAGUUAAAAUCAAAGCAGAAUGGUCAUUUAUUGUGAAAAAUGUACACACACAUGGAGCCGCAGAAAUAAAAAGUCCGAAGAAUAGUAAUGAAUUCAAACUAAAUGGACAAUGAUUGAAACCAUUCUUGGAAAACUCAAUGUCUUGAGAAACCUUUUUUCUGUCUAAUCCUGAUUAUUCUCUAUGAUCUUGAUUAUUGUGGAAAUUAAAUCUCAUCUUGUUACUUGUUUUUUUUUUUUUUUGGUUUUGUUUUGUGUUUUUGUGUUUUUGUCUUUUUCAGGUUUUGCAUAAGUAUUUUCCUAUGAUCCUAAUUAUUCUCUAUGAUCCUGAUUACUGUGGAAACUAAAUCUCAUCUUGUUACUUGUUUUGUUUUUCUUGACUCUCACACUUGGUUUUUUUUAGUUCAUCCUAAUAACUAAAACCUCAAAAUCAAGUAUGAAAGAAAUACAACAUGAAUUACAUAAGUAUUUUCCUUCUCUCUCUCAAAAUGCUCUUUAAAAGAUUUACAAAGCUCGUGUUGAACGAUUACAUUUGUUAAUGAUCUAUGGGAUUCAAAUGAUAUUUGUUGGAUAAUUGAAGCAAAAGUUUGAUUGGCAAGUGAGUUUUCUAAUCUUUUUAUUUCUUACAUGCUUGGUCUUGGGAAAAGCACAUUUGCUAAAAAAGUUCAUUAAGGAUGGCCUAUGUAAAGAAUUAUUAGAUAUAUCUUGCAAUCUCUAGAGACAUAUCCAAGUGGCUAUGUGUGACGCAAGAUUCACAAUUUAUGGACACAAUUCCUAAAAGAAAGUGCACAAUUAAAUCUUAGGAAUCUGACUUAAAAAUACGUUGUUUGCUAAUUUAUAAGAAAUUGGAUAAGAAGCUUAUCCCUAAUCUAUAGAGGGCGUUUAAGCCAUUACUAGACGUAAAAUCAAAGGAAGAUGUUAGGCACAAUCAAAACUACCAAUACAUAUCCUUUUUAUUUUUCUAUGAUUACUUUACUCUAACUUCGUAGACUUAUUUAUUUGAAAUUUCCUGUAGGUUCUAGUUAAUUAUCAUUUCAACUGUUUCUUACACUCUGUUUGACAAUUGCCAACCUCCGAAUUUAUUAUCAUUGAUGCAUUGCCUUUCUUAGAUUUAUAAAUAUUUUGUUAGAUAUAUCUCUUUCUUGUAUGAUCCAAAUCUUUAAAAGAAAGAGAAUCACAAUGGCAACAGUUCCAGUUAGACAGCUUAAAAAUAUUUGUAUAUUUUAUGGAUUAACUUCUAGACAUGCUCUAAAUUUUGUUGAGGCUGUCAAAGAUCUUAAAAGGGUAUGUCUGAGAGAAAAAUACAUUUAAUAUAUGAAGGUAGUGAUCUUGAAUUAAUGGGGGCUGUCUCGCAAGCUACAGACAUUGGAGGAAGUCAAGUUUUGGGUAUAGUCCCAAAAGCCUUAACUAGAGGAAACAUCAUCGAAAAAACAAAUGGAGAAGAGCUCCUUAUCACAUGUUUGCAUAAACGUCUUAUUGCAAAAAUUGAACAUGCUAAUGCUUUUAUUGCUUUGCCAGGUGGACUUGGCACCUUAGAAGAAAUUUUCACUAUUACAUCCUAGGCACAACUAAACAUUCAUUAAAUAUCUAUCGGGUUGUUAGAUGUAAAUUAUUACUAUGGUCUUUGAUGAUGUCUUUUGGUGAUACUGUGAGGCACAGUUUCAUUUCCCCUUCGUUAUAAGGAAUCCUUGUCCGUGCCAAACUCGUUACUGAAUUAAUUGAUCGACUACAAGAAUAUUAGCCUGAAACCAACCUACUCAAUUAUCACUAGACUAGUCACAUGUUGAAAAUGGCAAGAAGCGUAAAAUGAUGGACUUGAAUCUUCAUAUGUAAUUCUUUUUUAUUUUUUUAUAUACUAGGUGUAUUUGUUUAUAGAUGUCUAUUUUCCUUCACAUUUAUCAAAUGCAGUCUUCUAAACUUUACCUUUUUUUCUUUAUACAUUGAGGAUAAUGUCUCAUCUAGUUAAAGGGAGGGGAUAGUUGGUAUAACAUGCUUUAAAAAAUGGCAGAUUAAGAAGUUCCUUUUGUUACUCCUAAAAUGCAUCAUUUUCUCUAUUUUGUAUUUUCUAAUAAAAGCUAUUUUUGUUCUUUUCUCCUGAAAAAUUAAAUUUAUGAGCACUUCUUUCUAAUAGCUUUUACUUAUCUAUUAUCUGAUGCAUGUUAUUAAACCAUUCCAGCACACACACACACACAACAUGACAUAUACUUGCGGCUGUGAGUAUUUAGUUCUCUUGGUUUGUUUGAGGUGACAUCUAAUGCAGUGGAAAAUGUGUGAUUUAUUUGAGAAAAACAUUCUAACUUUUUCUUAGUAACCGGGCAUUUUACCUAAUCAGUAGUGAUUAUUCGCGUAAAACAAUAAAGUUUUGGUUAUAAAAAAAAUCAAUAAAUCAUUAGUUUUAUGUAGUAACUGGGCAUCUUGCCUAAUCAAUAGUGAUUACUUGAGUAUGAUGGUAAAACUCUAUAAAAAUAAUAAUAAUAAAAUAAAAUAUGUUCAAUUUUACUAUAUCUGAAAUAUGAGUAAUUAAGCUCGUAGGAGUAUUUCAACACCAAGUGCCCUAAGGCCAACUGGUUCGGAAGUUAUUGGCCCAAAGCUCGCUACAUAGGUUGAAAAUUUAUUGUUUGUUUAGUUAUUUAUAAAUAAUCCAAUACUUAAUGAUAGAAACCAUAAUGAACCUUAGAACAAAAAUAUUAUGCUCUUUCUAUGAAAUGAGCACGAAGGAAGGUUAUUGAUAUCCAGUCUAUGAUUUUUGAGUGAUGAUACAGCCACAAAUUCUUGUACAAUUUAUCUUGUACAAAAUGAUUUGACAUUAAUUCAUUAGUUGAAUGAAAAUACAAAAUAAUAAAAAUAGAUCAUGUGGGCCAAGAUGAUAUGUACAUUCCUUUAAAUAAUUCACACUUGUCACCAACAUCAAUAUGUAAAGUGGCAAACAUGGUAUAGCAUAACUCAAAGCUAAAGAUAACACAAAUACUAAAAUUUAGAAGUUAUCAUGUCAUCCAAUGUCAAAAGAUCACACAAAAUGCCUUAAUUUUUUUUUUUUUUUUUGUAACUAAACUCCAAAACAAGGAAGAUGUGUGAUCUUCCUAGUCGGUCAUCUUCGGCUCAAAAAUUUGAAAUAGGUUAGUAAAAGUACAUCAACACAACUAUUAAUUAUUCCACAAUUGUCAACUAUUCCCUUCCUUUAACCAAAAUGAGACAUUGUCCUCAAUGUCUAAAAGGAAAGAAGUAGGGUUUAGAAGACAUCAUGUGAAUACUGCAACAUAAGAAAAUAUUUACAAAUGGAAGACUAAAUCUAAUUUGUACUCUUUAUUACUGCUACUGUUGUCAUUAUUAGCUGACCAAUCUAAUGCAAAGAUCCUAGAUUUGGCUCUAGUCUGUCAGCUUGUAAAAAUUGAAGUAACUCAUUAGUAAAAGGAGCACAAAUAAAGAACUUUUUUACUAUGAAUGGAAUGAAAUGAUUCUUAAUUGCAUGGUUAAGAAAUGCUAUCAAGCCUUUAUAAAAGUUGUAAGCAUUUAAUAAAUCGAUGAAUUUUUUAUGAAUGUUCAAAUGAGCCCAUGAUGCGAAUAUAAUUAGUGCCUCUAAAGUUGCAAAAUCUCUUGUCAGGAAAAUAAAUGCGUCCACAUGGUUUAGCAUCUUAGAUAUUCUUUCUUGUAUACUUAAGAUGUCUAGCUCUUCUCCAAUUAGUGAGCCAGAUAGACAUCUCAAAGGUUUGAGGGCUUUUGAGAUGACACGGAUCACUUGGCUUUUUUUAGUGUAAGCAGCUUGUGAGACAAGUUUUGAUAACCCUCGGUGACCUCUUCCAUAUACUGGGUGUAUUUUUCUCUCUACUAGUACUCGACCAAGAUCUAUUGCUGUUUGAACAAGCUCUUUGUAUUUUCCACAACGAAAGCUAGAAAGCACACAAACGUUCUUGAAUUGUUUGUUCCAACUUGCUGCGAUUGAAAUAAUUCUCAAAAGUAAUUUAUGAGUUUUUUUUUAAAAAGCUCGAAUUUAAAUAUCUCAAUAAAAAUAUAAUGAUACACAAUUAUAAAUAAGGUGGUGUGUUUGUCAAAUGACCUAUAAAUUUCAUGCCUCAAGAGUCAAAAGUAAACAAUAAAGAAAAGCAACAAUAAGUAAAUAUAAAAUCACACCAUUCAAAGUAAUAAUGCAAAUGACAAAAGAACAGCAAAACAAAAGGAUAGGUACUAGUAGUUGUGACCGUGGCUCACAUCUUUCUUUGGUUUUACAUCCAAAAAUGAUUUAAGCGCCCUCUAUGAGUCAAGGAUAAACUUCUCAUCCAAUUUUCUUAUAAACUUAUCAAGACUAUAUGUCCAUGUUCUUUUUGGAAUAAAGGCCACAAGUGGAAAAUUGCACAUUGUACGUAUCCACUGGGAUACGUUUCAAGAUUCGAAAAGAUGUCAUCCAAUGAUCUUUAUUCAAGCUCCCUAAUGAAUUGAAUCUUGUCUCCCCUGUUGUCGAACACCAUUCCUAAAAAGUUACAAGGACGUCUGUUGUAGUUUGUUCGAGCACACUUAUGACAAUAAACUUGGAGUUGCUAGCUCUUUGUUUUCUUGACUAGUUUCCUUUCUCGCAACUAAGUAUAUAGGCAAAACAUUUGGGAGGUAACUCCUCCGUUAAUUAUACUUUGGCUUCAAUUAACCAACGGAUAUCAAUAGGGAUGUUAUUCCUCAAAAGUAGUAGAAAACGUUCAGACCGAGCUAUGUAUAUUGUGAGAAGUGCAUUUUUAAAGAGUGAGAGAACUCGCUUAUGAAGAUUUACAAGAAUUGCAUUAUAUCCAUACCUUGUCUUAAGAAUUUGAGUUAUUAUGGGAAAAUGAAAUAACCGACUUUAAUAGUCACGGAAUACCGUUGCCUGCCAAUUAUAUCAAAUAAAAAAAUCAAUCUAGUAAAAAGCAAACAACAAAAUAAAAACACAUUGAUAUAAAGUGGGAUGUUAACUCACCAUCAUCCCUUUAUUGAGUUUACCUUAAGUUCUAAUUGGAUAUCAUAGAUACCAUUAUCAAUGUGACUGAGUUGUCUUUCUUGUUCUUCAAAAUAGGAUACUAACGCUAGUGGUCGUAGAUCCUAAAUAGGAUGUGAUUUAUAAAUUUACAACAAGCCGCUUAGGUGAUGCUUUACACGUAAAAGUUCAUUAAGGUGGUUGAAGAGGAUCUAUUUCAUAAAGGUACUCAUGAUGUAUAAUACAAGUGAUAAAAAAAAUACAAGUGCUAAAAAAAUGCAUUUAAGUGAGAAACAAUCAAAUAAUUUCAAUCAGCAAAAGAAAAUAAAAAAAUUAAAUCAUCUAAAGAAAAGACUGAAUUAAGAUUUGGUAAGUCACUUAAAUUUAUUUCAGGGUUUUAUUCAUGUGGUUGAUACUCUAGAUAUGGCUUUAAUAUUUUAUUAUUAACUCUGAAAGUGACACCAUGAUCCUUAAUUUCAAUAGCCCUAUGUGGAAAAAUAGUGUAAAUGAUAAAUAGACUAGACUAUCAAGAGCGUAAUUUACCUAGGAAUAGAUGUAGGUAAGAAUUGAAUAAAAUCACUUUCUAACUUGUUGUAAAAGAUUUCCUCAUAAUAUGCUUAUCACAAAAGACAUUCAUCCACUGCUUGUAAUUCUUAGCAUUUUCAUAUGCAUCAUUGUGAAUUUCCUCAAGUUCUGCCAACUUUAAUAGUAGCCUAUUGCAUGUCAAAGUUGAAUUUUUUUAUGGCCUAAUAUGCACGACGCUCGAGUACCACCAAUAGGUGACAAGCUCUUCUAUAUAGUAGCCUUUAAAGAGACAUCCAAUAGAUGCCUUGAAAGCUAUUCGACACGCCCAUAGUGCAUAAUCAAAUCCCAAUGACUAGUCUUUCAUGUCUAGUCUCACUGUUGUUUUUAAAAUGUGCUUUAUUUCUUAAUUGGAGAUCUCAACUUGGCCACUGGUUAGAGGAUAGUAUGGGGUCACUACUUUAUAUGUCAUGGAAUAUUUUACCAAAAGAGUUUUUAAUGAUUUGUUGCAAAAGUAUGAACUACCAUCACUGAUUAUUGCCCGAUGAAAUCCAAAGCGCGAAAAAAUAUUGCUUUUCCAAAUCUCAUCACCACUUUGUGAUCAUUAGUUCUACACAAAAUUAUUUCUACCUACUUUGUUAUAUAGUCAACAGCAAUCAAUAUCUAUUAACAGCCAAAAAAAGGAUGAAAAGGUCUCAUGAAAUCGAUGCUCUAUACAUAAAAAAUCUCAACUACCAAAAUAAGGCUUAAUCGCAUCAUGUUUCUUCAUGUAAUACAUCCCAUGUACUUAUGCAAUACUGAAGUUGACUUGUAACAAAAUAUUUCAAUAUAUCAGCAAACCAUGGUAAUACUUCCUCAUUCAUUAAUUGUUCGUUUGGAAAUGAUUCAUUCAAUGGUAAUGCUUUUGAAAUCGGGUCAAAAUUAAGGUGAUAGAGAUGAUCUGCUACCAGAUUUUCCGUGCUUUUCUUAUCUUUGAACUUAAGGUCAAAUUCCUGCAAAAAUAACACCCAGGGAAUUAGUUUGCCCUUUGAGUAAUUUAACUGCACAUUAUUUAAUGUCGUACUAGUGUAGUAAAUGACAUAAAUGAUACAAUCAACCCUUUAUCCUAACAUUACUCCUAUUGUAUAAUCAGAUGCAUUGCAUAUAAGAUCAUUAAAGACAAAAGGUACAUCCCUUGCAAUUAAAUUACAUAAGGGUUUAAAGAUUUUGCUAAAAUCUUUAAUAAAACAUGUAUAUAAACCAGCAUGCCUGAGAAAAGAUAUUUUUUUUUAACAUUUAGGGUGAAGUAAGAUUAGAAAUAGAUCCACAUGGGCUUUGUUGACCUUAAUACUUUUGUUCGAAAUGAUGUAACCUAAAACAAUACUUUGUUUUGCCAUAAAAUGGCACCUCUUCCAGUUCAAGCCUAAAUUCUUCUCUACACAUCUCUACAGAACUAGCAUUAGAUGAUGCAAAUGUUAAUCAAAUGAAUUACCAAAAAUAGACAAUUCAUCCAUAAAAACUUCAAGGAAACAUCCAACCAAAUCAGAAAAAAUGCUUAAUAUGCAUCAUUAAAAUGUGGCAGCUGCAUUGCAUAAUCCAAAUGACAUUCUCUUAUAUGUAAAAGUGCCAAAAAGACAAGCUAAAAUGGCUUUCUUUUGUUCUUUUGGUGCUACGAGAAUCUGGUUAUAUCCUGAAUAGCCAUUUAAACAGUAAUAAAAUGCAUGACCUGUUAAUCUAUCAAGCAUUUGAUUGAUAAAUGGUAAAGAAAAAUGGUUUUUUCAUGUAAAUUCUUGAUAGAAUUUAAUUUUCUAUAAUUAAUCAUGUGCACCACCCUGGAGUCACUUUAAUGAGUAUUAAUUCAUUGUCAACAUUGGUAACUACUGUAACUUCUAACUUUUUUAGGACAACUUGCAUAGGACUGACCCAUGAACUAUCAGAAAUUGGGUAAAUAAUACCUAAAUCCAAUAUUUUAAAGACUUUAGUUCUAACAACUUUUUCCAUUGGGGUUUAACAGAUGAUUUAUAUUUGUAGUAUUUUGCAUUUUCAUGAAGAUGAAUGUAAUGCAUGCAAUCUACUGGGUUUAUACUUUUUAUGUCGACUAUGGCCCAUCUUAAUACCUUUUUAUGCUCUAUUAAAACAUUUGACAACUUACUCUUUUAUUUAUCAUCAAGAGAUGAUGAAAUGAUUCCUGGCAAAUUAUUUUUGUCUCCUAAGAAUGCAUACUCCAAAGUGUCGAGUAAUGAAUUGAGCCCAAGCUUUGGUGAUUUUGAUGAUGGCCUGAGUUUUUUCCCCGAUGAUGUCUGUUGCUCUAUUCUUAAUUUCUGUUUAUUGGUAUCCAUGGAUGGUGAUGAAUCGAAUAAGGCAUUGACCUCCUCAAUCGAUCUAUCAAUAUCAAAAUUCAAACUAAAGUGAGUUAAAUAUGUUUGUAAAGGAUCAUCAUUAAAGUUAAAUGGCAAAGUAUAAUCAACUAAUUCUUAAACUAAAUCAACAUCAACAAUUCCUUCAUCUUCAUUGUGAGGUUGUUUGGCAAUAUGAAAAACAUUCAACUCUAUGGUCAUGUUGCCAAAGGACAAUUGUAUAUUUAUAGUCCUGUAUUGAAUGUGUGCUUUGACAGUUGCCAACAAAGGUCGAUCUAGAAUAAUGAAGAUGUGUUUUUUUGAAUCCUGCACUAGUUAAGUGUCAAUCAUUAUAAAGUCAACUAAAAAAUAAAGUUGUCUACCUAGAUAAGCACAUCUUCUAUAAUACUGUGAGCUAUUUUAAUGGAUCGAUCUGUGAGCUGCAACUCAACCAAAGUUGGGUGUAAUUCUCUCAAUCUAAAUUUCAUAAAUAUUGAGUAAGAUAAAAUAUUUUCACUAGCCCCUAAGUCCAACAAAGCAUUCUUAAUUAUGUAAACCUCAUAUACUAUAUGAAAUGAUAUAAGAGCCUAAAUCUUUGUGUUAAAGGAAUUUUUUGUUGGAUUAUGGAACUAAUGUUCUCUAUUAAAAAGACUAUCUUUUGAACAUGAAUGCUUCUCUUUUUAAUACAAAGGUCUUCAAAAAACUUUGCAUAAGACAGCGUCAAAUAAAAGGGAUGUUAAGACAUACCUAUUUAAAGAUUUCCAUAACCUCACCUCUAGAAUUUCUCUUUUUUGCUUUAACUAACCUCUGAGGAAAUAAAGCUUUAGGGACGUAUUAUCGUUGCUACUUUCUUUUUUCUACUAUGGUGAUAAUUCAUUAAAGUCUAAAGGUACAACUUGAGUUGUCUUUUUCACCGGCAUCUCCACUUUAUUGUCGACUUAUUUUUCUUUUCGCAAGGUCAUGAUGGCUUUGACCUCUUCAGGCCAUUAGGGUAAAUUAGUACUAACUUCAUGUACUCUCUUAGGAUUAGAGAUUGACUAACUUGAGAAUUUACCUUUCUUAACAGUCAUUGUUAAGGUUUCAACUAAAAAAGGAAGUUGACCCACCAUCUUUUUGAGGUUCAAAAUCAAUUAGGCUUGUGAAUUUAUGCCAGUACUCAUCUCAUUCCGUAGCUCAUCAAUGGUGCAAUUUUUUUAUUCAAGUACGGAGUGAGUUAAAUUAUUGAAAAUUUUUAGUGCCUUUUUCUCAUGGUUUGACCCACUAACUUUUCAUGGUCUCAUGAAUUCCAAUAAAACAAAACAGCAGCUCCAACUCCAUUAUCACCAGUACAACUAAUUCAUCAACUCUUCAAAUCUCUCAGCCACCAUUUAGACAGUACAAUCAGAAUCAGAUGAAUCAUGGUCAAAUUGAUUGUAGGUAUAUGGCUCUAUUGAUUUGGUAGCUAUUAAUGAUACUCUUUGGGGAGAAAGUCCUUCGACUAUUACUUUAACUUCCUUGAUGUCUGAUCCUGAUUCGCCAACAUUGAUUAGUAUUAAAAAUUGUUUAAUUAUCAAGCGAUAAUAUGUUAUUUUAUGCUUAUGUUAUAAUUUAUAUUUGUGUUUAUGUAAUAUAUUAUGAAUUAUUAAUUAUGUUUUAAAUAUAUUUAAUUUUGUGUAUUUUUAUGUGUUUAUUAGGAAAAUUAUUAAUUUCACGUACUUCGAGGCUCCAAACAAAUAAACGGAGGUCAAAUUUGGAUUCCGGAGGUCCGAAAACCUUAAGAUCAGUCAAGAUCGACUUAAAAUUGGGCUUGUGUAAAAAAAGUUGACUUUUCCUGUUGACCGAGCACUGAUUGGAUGAUGAAAUGAGCUUACAAUAGAUAUGAGUGCAUGGGAUAACUGGCAAUCUUGACUAAAUCUCAACCGUUCAUGAUUCAAUGGCCAUGAUUGUGCCACGUGGCAAUGGUUGGUGAAGCAAGUUGGAGGAUCCGAAUCUUUGUAUUCGGGUCGACCCGAUCCACCCAUUAACCCGCCAAAUCUCAACCGUUCUUUGGGCAAAUCGGACGAGUCAAAUGAUGCCAUGUGUGAUGUUGACUUUUGAAGUUUGACCAGCCAUUGGAUCUUGAUCUAAGGGUUGUGAGGAGCACAUGCAUGAAGCCUAUGAUGGACCGCAAAGCACUGGAUUAUAAAUUUAUUUUUCUAUAAAUAAGGCCUCAUUUUUAUGUUUUAAUCAUCUCUCUACAACUCUCUUCUUCUCAAAUUCUCUCCAUCUCCUUGUAAUCUUGAUUUCCAGGUGUGUUUUUAAUAUUUUGUAUAAUUAUUUUCAUUAAUAAAAUUAGUUUUAUUUCCAAUUUUAGUUGUUUUUAUUUCUUUUAAUUAUAAGUAAUUCAAUUUUACUACUUCUUUUUAUUUUAAUUAUGCUUAACUAAAUAAUAUUAGUUAGGGGAAGGUGAAACUCUUAAGAAAUAAAUAUGAUUUAAUCAAAUUCUAUGUUUAAUUUUAUAAAUUAAAUUAUUUUCUAUUUAAUUUUAUACAUGUUUUAUAUUUUGAAAAUUUGAUUUAUUGUAGACAAACAAAUGAAUUUGGCACAAUAAAUUCUUAAGAUCUUAAUAUAAGGCAUGGUGAAAUAGUAUUUUGACUUAUUGUAGACAAAUUAAAUUUUGGCACAAUAAAUACUUAAUCCAUCAUAAAUUUAAAGGGAAAAUAAUAAUAAUUUGUAUAAUUAAUCUUUUGGGUAAUAAAUCUAAAAAAAAUUGGCAAAAAGAAUUUAUUAAGUUUUAUUUAUUCCUAAGAGUGGAUCCAUAACCCUAACUAGUUCAAUUCCAUAGUUUCAUUUAAAUUAAGUUGUUUAUAUUCAAAUUUUAAUUUUAAUUUUUAGAUAAAAUAAAAUAAACUAAUUAAAUCUUUUCUCUGUGGAUCGACCUUGGACUCACCGAGUUAUAAUACAACAAGACACUCUUAUACUUGAGAGUUAAAAAUUACUUUUAAGUUGUGUCAAACAUGAACUUCAUUUACUCCCUUGAUUUUUCUUACAUUCUUAAAUGAUCAACUUCGCUAUUGGAAAUUAUCAGCUUGUCAAUGGAAGAAAUCCCAAAUUUCUAAUGCACUUUUAGACAUUGGCUCACCUCCACUUGUCGCUACAAGCUAUUCUUGCAUAUAUGGCAAUAGCCUCUCCAAGAUGUAUUGAUAUUGGUACCAUCUCUCAUCUAUUUCUUGUAUCCGCAACGUGGACACUUCAAGAGUAGCUCAUUGAAUCACACCCAUACUUAAAAAAAUUGCUCGUCUUCUCUCUGAAUAAACUCUGAGAUUUCCUUGCGAAUAAUGUUAGUUUUAUGCACUGGGAAGUGUUUAUUUAAAAACUUGGCUACCAUUUGUUCCCAUGAUGUAAUACCAUUAGCAAGUAAUGUAUUGAACCAAGAACGAGCUUUAUCCUUUAGAGAAAAUAAAAACAAUCUAAGCUUACAUCUUCAUUUAAAAAAAAUUUAUAUUUAAAAGUUUGGCAAAUAGCAUGAAAAUCAUUCGAAUGAUUGUGUGACUCUUCAUUUUCUAGGCCAUAGAGUGAUAGGAAACAAUUUAGUACACUAGAUUUUAACUCAAACUCUUAGCAGCUACAUUGGGGUAAUCUUAUGUAUGAAGUGCUCCAAUUAGCCAAUGGAUUGAAGUAGUCCUCAAAUGGCCUCUCUUAUGAUACUUGCGGUUGUUGUUCCAAAUUUAUUUCAAAUUAUCCUCAAUUUUAACCUUUGAUGCAAUGCAUCUAUGUGUGCGAAUUGUCUUUUCUAAUUCAAGGUAUAUAGUUCUAGAAGUGUCUUUUUCAAUUCAAGGUCUAUAGUUCUAGAUCAUGUGAUUAUGACCUUCGUUGUGCAUGAAAAUAAAUUUUUUUUUAAAAAAGGACUAAUGAAAAUAAAGAGAGAUGAGAAGUUACGAUACUGAUCGUAUAUUAUACUCUUACUAUAAAAACAAACUUAAAACCUACACACAAAGUUAUUUACACAAUAUUUACAAAGAUAAUCAACUCUACAAAUUAAAAAAAAUUAUCUGCCCCACAAUGGCGCUAAAAACUUAUUGUACAAAUUUUAUUGUACUCACAAAACGGACAAAUCUAUUGCAGUAUAGAUUAAUGGUGAUGAGUGUCAAUCCCACAAGGAGAUAUAUUUAAUUAUAAUCAAGGUUAAUUUUCUAAGUUUAUAUAUAAAUUGGUUAGAUAUGAUUUCUGAGUAGUAUUGAGAUUUAAAUUAAAAAUAUAGUGGGAAUAAAUUAAAGAUGAAACAAUUCAAAUGAAAUAAUUAAGUCUCUCGAUGCUCACUUAACACUUCACCAUGGGCUUAAUAUUCUUUUUUAGUUCCAAUUUUUUUAUGAGGGUAGUAUUUCUACUUCUCAUAGUCCUCAUUCUGGUAAAUAUGGUAUCAAACACUCAUUGUGCCUUGGGGAAAUAAUUUUCUGCUAAAUGUUUAACAAGUACAUGUUGUGCCAGGUGAAAAUAAUUCUAUUGUCGACAAUGUGGUAAGAUCGUCCACUAAAUAACUUAGAUGCAUUCACUGUAAACAUUGAGUCAAAAUGGACCAUUAACAUUAUAGAGGAGUUUCUCGCUAAUAAAUAUAGUGUAAAGUGUUCAUCAUGCCAAACAAUAAUGAUCUUGCAUUAGGGAACCAGUACACGGUGUAAAACCUAGACAAGAUAAUUACUGUCUGAAAAUGAUGAGUCAAAACAAACCAUAUAAAUCAAGAAAGUUAAUAAACUUACCAAAUUAAGCUCAUGGAUCAUGUUAAGGCUUCACCUUCAACUCAAGCUUGAAACUAAACUAACUUGAAACUAAACUAACACUCAUAUUGAACUAGGGUUAAAAUAUAGAAAAUAAAAGAUCAAAAGAGAAUUACAUAAAAUGGAGCUCAAAUUUGGAUUUAAAGUUACCAAAUGAAGGGGUAGUCCUUUAUUUAUAAAUACAAUGGGUAAAUCAUGACUAUCGGAUGAAAACGACUCUAACCCUCAGGAUUGUGCCACAUGGCAAGCUUUAGAUGGAUGGAACAAGUCAUCAAGGCUUUGAUUCGGUGAAUUGCAUGUAAUGUACACACGGUUUUUAGUCUAAUAAUAUGCUAUCACAUCAUCGGUCAAUAUAAAAGUCAACUAGCAUUGAUUCAAUGUAUUGCUUGUAUCUUAAGCUCAUUGUUUAGUCCAAUAGAAUGAUGUCACAUCAUCAGUCAAUGCAAUAGGUUGCUACCACGUCAUCGAUUAAUGCCAUAUCAGUUGGGCCCCACUAAAAUCCUAAAAUUUUAAUUUUGCAUGUUUUGCCUUCUUUAAGGUUUUUAACUAUUCGAAGCCCAGAAAUACUAUUUGUUUUUCUGUCUGAUUUCUUGUUAAUUAUGAAAUGACCAAAAUACUCCUUAAUAUAUAAAAUACUCAAAUUAUAAUAAAACACACAAUCAAAGUUCAAAAGACUUUUUUACAUAAAAAUAAAAAUGUUAGUGAGACUUGAAGCGCAAAAUGAUGAUUUUACCCUUUAUAAAAUAUAUAUUCUUCAGCACUUAAGGAGCUACUAGAAAGAUAUAGAAAAAUUCUAAUCCAAUACAUGUAUUGAACAGAAUGGAAGGACAAGACAUUGUCAGUGUGCUGCAAUAAAUGGCUAUAAAGUUGAGCAAAUCAGAAAAUGAAUUACCGCUAGCUCUGUUUUAGGCAACUUGGCAUGCUAGAAAAUUGGUUAUUUUCUUAAUGGAAAAAAAAAUAAAGAACCUCUCAGAUCUAUAGUAAAGGCUAAAACAAAGAUGAAAUCUUACAAGAGGGUCAAGUGACCAGAAUGGACAUAAUAAAAGACAAUCAACUAAAGAAGCAAACCAAAUGGAGCCCCCUCUAUAUGGUUAGUUCACGGCUAAUGUUGAUGCAACCAUCAAUGUUGACAAAUAGGUAGCAGGUUCAGGAGUGGCCAUCACUGAUCCAAAUGGAUAACUAGUUGCAGCAGUUGUUAAAGUGUCAAAGUAUGACGGCAAUGUGGAUCAUGCAGAAGCUGAGGUAGUUGAGUGGGGUUUACAGGUGGCCAUUAAGGAUGGAUUAAAUUUGCUUAUUGUUGAAUAUGAUUCACAAAUGGUAGUAGAGUUGGUGAACAAUAGGAGAGGUAGCAGAACUAAAAUGUACUGCAUCAUAUCUGAAAUUUAUGCUUUGAAAAUGAAUUUCAAUGAGUUUAAAGUUCAACACACGCCUAGAUUAUGUAAUGGGGGUGCCUUAAAUUUGUAAAGAAAGGUAGGCUCUUAAAUCUCUUUUAUUUUCAUCAUUAGUAUCAGAGCCAUAUUUUUAUGUUAAAUUCAUGCAUACGGUUGAGUUUGUUUCAUGAAAAAGUUUGAAUUUCAUACGUUAAUUGAUUCUUUAAGGUAUAUAUGAUUCGGUGGCUAUUAAUUUCAUGUUUUGGAAUACUAAAAUUAAACUAUAAAUUCUGGAUUUGAUAAACAUAGAAUCGGCCUAGGGUUUAGAUUACAUGAACCUUAAGAAAUCAUGAAACUGAAACUUCAAUUGCUCAUAUCUUUUUAUCUAGGCAACCAGACAUUGUGUGUACACAUAUCAUUGGAAAGAUCUUUUCAAGAGCUUUCCAACAAUAAUGUGAUUUGUUAAAAAUAAAAUUAAAACGAGAAAGUUAUGUCCAAAAUAAGAAUAUGGACGUGAAAAUUUAAAAACCCAAAUUUUUGGAGAAGAUGAUGAAUAGUGCCAAAAUCAUUUUUUCAAUGAUCCAAAUUAUUCUUAUCUCCGAUUAAAAAUCCAAGGGCACCACUAGAUUUAGGAUGAAAAAUUGAGUCAGAUGGUGUCGCACCCAACAUCACCUGAGUUAUGUAAGAUGGCGAGUGGGCCCCACAUGCCAGCUGAGCGCGUGGGGACGUGCACAACACUAGUGCGUGGGGGGGAAUGUGUCCAGAAUGGUAUUUUUUUGUAUAUUUUGCUAUCUGGGAUUCUGAUUUGGACACCGUUUGUACCAUUUGAUUUGAAAUUUAAUUUUCUAUUCUUUUUAUAAAAAAUAAAAUUUCUAAAUAAUUUUUGUUUUAUUUUUGGAAUAAAAUUUUGGAUCGAAUAUAUAUAAUCUUAUGGAUGAGCAUCAUAUGUUAAUAAAUAUUUGGCUCUAGUGGGAGCUGAAAAAUAUUUUUUAUGGACAUUGGCUUGAAAAACAUUGAUCUCAUAUUUAAUCAUUUGCUAACUAUCACUAAUAUGAAUUUUAUGUUAUUUUUCCUAGAUGCCUCGCAUUAGAAAAUUAUGGACUAAAAAAGACGAGUUAAUGACAUAUAGAGCUUGGGUUUCUCCUAUUGAUUUAAUUCAUAUUAAUGAUAACUUAUCUUAUAAGAACUUAUGAAGAAAAUGGAGAAUUAUAAGAUGGACCAUGACCAUUUAUGUAUAUUAAUAUAGAAGAUAUAGAUGAGGUCUUUAGCUGGCUAAAGUAUAGAAAAGUGAGCACAAGUAUACAAAUUUGGAUUAUUAUCAACGGGUCCUCAUAAAUUCUUUACCUAAUGAUGAUAAUACACUUGUCUUUAAGGUUCACAUGUUAGAGGAGAUUGAGAAUCUCCCGAGUAAUAAUAUUAUUUGCUGAGGCGUGAAAUUGAGCUAAAAGAAGAGUCGUCUUGCAUUCACACGAACUUUUGGAAUGAAAGACAAGUUUAUAGCCUUGGUAAAGGGCAUACGUUAUGAUAUGAGAAAACCAUCAACAGGAUCAUCAAGAAGGAACAAUUGUUUUUAUUUGGAGAUACACUUGAGUAUAAGUUGGAUGAAAAAAUUAUGAGCAAAAAAAAAUAUUUUAAGAACAUGUAGAAGAUUCUAUGUAUUAGCUUGACUAUAUUAGGUUAUUUCUUUUGUUUGUUAACUUUUAUUGUUUUGAUGUUAUUUCUCAUUUUGUUGAUUGAGCAAUAUGUUGUUAUGACUUUAAUUAAUGAACUUCUAUAUUAGUUAUUGCUCAACUCUACAUAUUCUUUUAUGGUAUCUCAUAAAUCAUUCUGUUGAGUGAGAGUUCUAAACAAAUUGAAUUUAAUGAAUUCAUAAUUAGAACUAAUAGUUUUGUGCACUAAAAUUGAAUUAAUGAUGAAUAUGAUAAAAGGAAUUGGAUGAUGAUUGGAAACUUCGACAACUUUUUUAUUACAUUCUCGAUAUUAGUUUGUCAUAUUUUUUGGUUUAUGUUUGUAGCAAAAUAAAGUGUUUAUGUAUAAUUAUUGAUUAUGCCUUUAUUGAUUGCUUUUUGAAUUGUCUCUGUGUUUAAAGAAAGUUGAGAUGGCAUCUGCAUUUAAGAAUGUUGUGGCUGAAUUGAACAAGGGUGCAAAGCUGCAUGGUAACAAUUAUGAUAUUUGGCAUUAUAAAAUUCAAUAUAUCCGUAAAGAGCAAGAGACUCUAGAAGCUCUUAACAACACCCUAUCUAAGCCUGAGCAAUGUAAUAGUGCUCAACAUAUGAGGGAUCUUGAGGCUUUUCUGGCCUGGAAAAAAUAGAAUAGUAAUGCUCGCAUAAUGAUGUUAAGCAGCAUGCAAGAUGACCUCAUGUAUAAAUUUGAGAAGUAUGAGACUACUUAAGAGAUGUGGCUCACUCUAAAAGACAAGUUUGUUGGCACUUUGACCACUAAGCUGAGAAGGGUUACGAUCAAUUUCGAUCCUUAUCAGAAGCACCAAAAUCAUAUUAUGAGAAAGCAUCUGAGGGAAAUAUCAAACACAGUUCGUGAACUUAAGUCUGUUGGACAUAUUCUGACUGAUGAAUAACAAGUCCAACCAAUGAUAAGAUCUCUACCUUAUUCCUGAGAACACAUGCAGGUGAAUGACUCACAAUGAGAGUAUCAAAACUUUCAAUGAUAUUGAACAUCACCUAGAACUAGAGGCAAAGCAUUUUGAGGUAGCUAAGCUUUUUUAUCGUGUUUAUAUGGCCGAGUCAAGCUCGCACAAGGCUUCGAGCUACAAGUGCAAAAGAUGCCAUAAGUAUAACCAAAAGGGUAAGAGAUCUGAUCCUGAUCAAAAAAAGCCAGAUGCUAAGAAAAUACCCAAGGGGUAAGCGUGCCGGUAAGAAAAAUGACAAAACCAUGAUGAAAUAAGCCAAAAAAGGUAAGACCCAACUCCAUUUUACUAAAUUAUGCUUACCGAUUCUCGUUCUGUGUGGACUGUAAACUCAGGAGCAACAGACCAUAUAGCUCGUGAUCAAAAUGCAUUGUAGAGUAUAUUUGAAUCAAUCAAAGGACUAGAUCGAUAUACAUAAGCAACAACUCUAGAGUUGAAGCAAAAAGAAUAGGCACCUGCAAAUUGACUUUGUGUGGUGGACAUAUUCUUUUAUUGCACGAUGUGUUAUAUGCACCAGAGAUUCAAUGAGACUUGGUUUCUAUUCCUAUCCUUCUUGAAUUAGGAUAUAAUUUAAACUUUCAUGGCAUUGUUUAGAGAUUUUCUUAAAUUUAGUCCUUAUUGGAACUAGGCAUUUGAUUAAUGGUUUUAUUGUAUUAGAUACAACACUUGAUGGUUCAAGUUAUAAUAAUAGUUAUUUUUCGUAUAUUACUUCUUUCGGUAAUAAUAAUAUAGAAGAAAUUACUUGGCUUGCUAGAUUAGGUCACAUAGGGCAAGAAAGAAUAAAUAGACUUGUGAGAGAGGGCAUAAGAUAGAAGCAUUUUGAAGUAACUAGUGUUGAAUUAUCCAAUUACAAAUGGUUGCCGAAUCAUUUUCUAAUAUAAGCUAACAUUUUUAAAAUAAAUCAUCUCUUAACAUUUUUAAUCUAAUUUUUCAAUAGGUCAGUAGUUCGAUUUUGGUUAGAUUUCUUUUUUGUUAACAGUUCUAUAUAAUCAAUUGGUUUUUCAGUUCAUUGUUAUUUUCGAUUAUGAACACCCUCCUCAAAAUUGUCUUUCAAAAUCUCCUUUACAACAUUGUUAUUUUCUUCCAUCCUGCACACAAGGCCUACUAUAAUCAAUGUAUAAUAAAAAAAUAAUAAUAAUUUACAAAUUUGUAUUCGAAAAAAAAUUGCAAAUUUUUUGGACUAAAAUGAUAAUUUUCAUAAUUAUAGUCUUUGUUUUUAAUAUCAAAACUUUUGUCCCGAAAUGUAAAUAAAAUAAAGUAAGUUUCUAUGCCACAAUACAAUUUAGCAAAACUUUAGGGACCAACGACAUUUUACCCUGUUCACAUUUGGUCAAGGACCAUUUUGAAAAGUUUGCAAACAAAUUAGGCUAUAAUAGAGUUCCUAUAUGCAAACAUUUCCUAAAUAUUAGACCAUACAAAAAUUUUAUAAAGUAGAGGGAGAACAAUAUUAUCCCUCCCUCAACUUAAACCUUCGUGACUUCCUCACCCAGCAACACAGUAUUGAAAUGGAAAAACCGAAAAAAGUAAAGUAACAUACCCAUAUCCAAACAAAGCUAAUAAAAUUAAAUACUAUUAAUAAUUUAAACAGUAAUAAUAAAUAAGGCAAGCAUGAAAUUAGAAAAUAUUAAAGAGUUAUUUAAAAAAUAAUAAUAAGAGCAAGUAACCUGGUUGGCUGGCUGGCUGGCUGGCUGGCGAUGGAGCAAUGGAAGGAACGGUAGCAGCAGGUCGGCAGCAAGUAUAAGGCAGUAUCGACCACCGGCAGAUGGGACUUAGGGUUUGGGUUCGUGGCUUUGUGCAGACAGCUGAAAGUGAGAGAGUAGAGACCGAGAGUGGUGCAAACAUGCGUAAUUUGUGUGUAUAUAUAUGUUGUAAUGAAAUUACAAAAAUGCCUUAAUCUCAGUUCAGUUCGGGUUUUAUAAUUUUUUAUCUGAAAACCAAUACCGAACCAAGCCAUUUGGUUCAGUUUUUAUAAAUUCAGAUUUUUAGUUUUAAAAAAAUCGAACCAACCAAAAAACUAAAACCGAACUGAAUUUUUUCCAGUUUCGGUUCAGUUUUACCUACCCUAAUACAUUUAAACAAUUUAUUGGAAGUGGCAUCAUACAUUAGUUUUCAUAAUAAAACUCGUAAGUCAUUUAUUCUUUCCUUGUCCAUAUUUGUAAAUAAUCUUCUUCUUUUUUGUUCAUACAUAUUUUAUAAAUUCCAUAAAUAUAUAGAGUUAAAUAUAAAGUUCCAUUCAAUUUACCAAAUUUUGCGAAGGUACCGGAAGUGCCAUAACAUAAUUAUUAUUGUGUUUGAUUUAGAGAACAAUUUUAUUUAAGCAAUCAGCUUUUCAAUUCAUCUUAACGGUUCGAUUCUAAACACCUUUCUCAAAAUCCUCUUUCAUAAUCUUCUCUAUAACAUUGUUAUUUUCUUAUAUCAUGCACAUGAGGCCUACCAUAAUCAAUAAUGUAUAAUAAACAAAAAUAAAAUAAUUUACAAAUUUGUAUUGGCCAAAAAUAAAAAUAAAAAUAUUGUAAGAAUUUUGGACUAAAAUGAAGAAUUUUGAGAAUUAUAGUCACUAUUUUUAAUAGAAAAUUAAAACUUAUCCCAAAAUAUAAAUAAAAUAAAGUAAGUUUCUGAGCCAUAAUACAAUUCAGUAAAACUUUAGAGGUCAAUGAUGUUUUACCCUGUUGACUUUUGGUCAAUAACCAUUUUGAAAAGUUUGCAAACAAAUUAGGCCUUAACAGGAUUCCUAUAUGCAAACAUUUCCUAAAUAUUGGACUAUACUAAAAUUUUAUAAAGUAUAGAGAUCUAAACGAUAUUAUCCCCCAUCAUCUUCAACCUUCGAGACUUCCUCACCCAACACCAACAGCACAGUCUUGAAAUGGAGAAACUGAAAAAGUACAAUAACAUACCCAUAUCCAGACAAAGCUAAUAAAACUAAAUAUUAUUAAUAAUUUAAUUCAAUAAUAAUAAAUAAGGCAAGCAUGAAAUUAGAAAAGAUUAAAGAGCUAUUUAAAAAAACCAUUUAAAAAAAAAACAGAGCAAGUCACUUGGCUGGUUGGCUGGCAACAGAGUAAUGGAAGGAACGGCAGCGGUAGGUCGGCAGCAAGGAUAAGGCAAUACCGGCCACCGACGGAUGGGACUUAGGGUUUGGGUUUGUUGCUUUGUGCAGGCAGCUGAAAGUGAGAGAGUAGAGACCGAGAGUGGUGCAAACAUGCGUAAUUUGUGUAUAUAUAUGUUGUAGUGAAAUUUUAAAAAAUGCUUUAAUAUCGGCUCGGUUCAAGUUUUAUAAUUUUUUAUCCAAAAAUCAAAUCUAGCCAAACCAUUCGGUUCAGUAUUUAUAAAUUCAGAUUUUUAGUUCUAAAAAAAUCUAACUGAAACCACAAAAACUGAAUCGAAUCGAAUCGAAGUUUUUCCAAUUUUGAUUCGAUUUUACCCACCCCUAAUAGAUAAAAACAAUUUAUUGAAAGUGACAUCAACAUUAGUUUUCAUAACAAAACUCGUAAGUCAUUUAUUGCUUCCUUAUCCAUCUCCGUAAAUAAUCUUCUUCUUUUUCGUUAAUACAUAUUUUAUAUAUUCCAUAAAUAUACAUAGAGCUAAAUAUAAAGUUUCAUUCGAUUUCACCAGAUUUCUUAAAGGUACCGGAAAUGCCGUAACAUAAUUAUUACUAUGUUUGAUUUUAGUAUCCUCUAUUAAUAUGUGAUGCCUCAAUUAAUAUGUUAGAUAAAUAUUUCGAGUAAGAUUUCAAAUAAUACUGUAACAUACGCACCCAAUGCAUGCACCACACCUGUCCUGCAAAUGGAGAAAAAGCAUGCAAUUGUUUUUGUUUGGUAGCUAGCUAACCAAUCAGGAGCUGGCUAAGUUGGAUCUGUAUGUUACAGAAUCUGUAACUUAGCCAGCUCCUGAUUUUUCAUUAGUUCAAUAGGAUGAUAUAAAUGGUAAAAGAUUUGUGUGGUUAUAAUGCAUUAAUAAAUCAUAAUCUAAUGUAUUUUCCAAUCUAUCACACAAGAAGCACGCAAUACCAUUAAUUGAUCAUAAAUAAUUCACCAAGCAUCUCAUUGGAAGUGAAAAUUAAUAUAUUUGAAAUUCAUCUAUUUAAAAGUGACUUGUCUUCCGUUUUAAUUUAUAACAUGGAUGGCUCAUUGUUAAUUAAUUUAGAAGCAGGGCAAAAUAUCGUCUCAGAGGUAUACAAGACUUAAGAAACUAUGAUGAAACUAAUUUUUAGGUCAUGUUUGGUUUGAAGAAAAGGGAGGAGAGGAAAAGAGUAGAAUGGAAAGGAAUGGAAAGGAAGGGAGAAGAAAGGAAUGGAGAAGAGUAGUGAAAUUAGAUUUUAUUAUUUGGUUUGAUGUAAAAUUUGAUAAGGAAAUAAAUUAUAAUUUUUUUCUUUAGACAAAUUUAUCAUUUACCUUAAAUAUUAAACUAUUUAUAUUAGUAAUAUAUAUAUAUAUAUAUAAUAAAAUGACAGUCCGGUGGCCGGCGGCGGAGGUCCAACGAAGUCUGACGGUGGUCCGACGACCUUCCGGUGAGGUCCGGCGAAAUCCGGUGGUGGUCCCGCGACUUUUCGGUGGAGAUCUAUUUAUAAUAUUAAAUCAAUAAAAUAAAAUUAUAAAUAAUAAUUAUUAAUGAUAUUAAAUAAGUUAAAAAAUUGAAGGGUAAUUUUAGAAACUUUAGUUUCUAAUAUAAGAGGAUUUUAAAUUCUUCACUACUUAGUAUGGAAUUCAAAUUCUACAUUAUGAUGGAUAUUAAAUUCCAAUGAAAAUUAAAUUCUUAUACAUUUUGUCAAACCAAACAAUGAAAAUAAAAAGAGAAUUUAAAUUACUUUCCUCUCCUACAUUCUCUCCUCCCAACCAAACAUCACCUUAGUACCUAAGAGACAAAAGUCCACAGCAAUAAGAAGUGCAAUCAAGAAAUUGUUAACAGCUACAGAAAUUGCUUGCAACCACCUUAGUUUUGUCUUGAAUGCUGAAAUUGUUAACAGGUAAUUAUUAUUCAUUCCCAAUGAAUUAUUUAAGCAAGUUCAAGGGACCCUUACAAACAAACACUGCCUAUAUCAUGGAACAAGUAAAAUGUGAAAUUUUCAACUAGAAAUUCAGAAUAUACGCCUGCAGAUUGUGAUCC
rnacentral:lncRNA from 1 species